rnacentral:lncRNA from 1 species
GAUCUUAUGUUAUUUAGUGUUGAUUAGGUGGAUAAUGUUGGGAAGUAUAUGUUUACGAAAAUUUAAAAAAUUAAAUUUUUUUCUCAGGUUCGAAAAGGUAGACUUACUGCCCAUUACAGAGAGAUGUUCGGAGAGCCGGGUAGUCGUUUAGACCCGUCGUCUUCUUCAGCUCCCGGUUCUUCGGGUCAGGAGACUGUCCCCGAGACUCAGUACACUCAGAGAGUCAUUGGAUCUCCUUCUUCUAGUGCAC